rnacentral:rRNA from 1 species
UGGGGAAUAUUGCACAAUGGGCGCAAGCCUGAUGCAGCCAUGCCGCGUGUAUGAAGAAGGCCUUCGGGUUGUAAAGUACUUUCAGCGGGGAGGAAGGGAGUAAAGUUAAUACCUUUGCUCAUUGACGUUACCCGCAGAAGAAGCACCGGCUAACUCCGUGCCAGCAGCCGCGGUAAUACGGAGGGUGCAAGCGUUAAUCGGAAUUACUGGGCGUAAAGCGCACGCAGGCGGCUUGUUAAGUCAGAUGUGAAAUCCCCGGGCUCAACCUGGGAACUGCAUCUGAUACUGGCAAGCUUGAGUCUCGUAGAGGGGGGUAGAAUUCCAGGUGUAGCGGUGAAAUGCGUAGAGAUCUGGAGGAAUACCGGUGGCGAAGGCGGCCCCCUGGACGAAGACUGACGCUCAGGUGCGAAAGCGUGGGGAGCAAACA